rnacentral:pre_miRNA from 1 species
UUUGUACUCCCUCCGUCCGGAAUUACUUGUCAUCAAAAUGGAUGUGUCUAGAACUAAAAUACAUCUAGAUACAUCCAUUUCAAUGACAAGUAUUUUCGGACGGAGGGAGUAGUAC